GGCUCAGGACGAACGCUGGCGGCGUGCCUAAUACAUGCAAGUCGAACGAACUCUGGUAUUGAUUGGUGCUUGCAUCAUGAUUUACAUUUGAGUGAGUGGCGAACUGGUGAGUAACACGUGGGAAACCUGCCCAGAAGCGGGGGAUAACACCUGGAAACAGAUGCUAAUACCGCAUAACAACUUGGACCGCAUGGUCCGAGUUUGAAAGAUGGCUUCGGCUAUCACUUUUGGAUGGUCCCGCGGCGUAUUAGCUAGAUGGUGGGGUAACGGCUCACCAUGGCAAUGAUACGUAGCCGACCUGAGAGGGUAAUCGGCCACAUUGGGACUGAGACACGGCCCAAACUCCUACGGGAGGCAGCAGUAGGGUAUCUUCCACAAUGGACGAAAGUCUGAUGGAGCAACGCCGCGUGAGUGAAGAAGGGUUUCGGCUCGUAAAACUCUGUUGUUAAAGAAGAACAUAUCUGAGAGUAACUGUUCAGGUAUUGACGGUAUUUAACCAGAAAGCCACGGCUAACUACGUGCCAGCAGCCGCGGUAAUACGUAGGUGGCAAGCGUUGUCCGGAUUUAUUGGGCGUAAAGCGAGCGCAGGCGGUUUUUUAAGUCUGAUGUGAAAGCCUUCGGCUCAACCGAAGAAGUGCAUCGGAAACUGGGAAACUUGAGUGCAGAAGAGGACAGUGGAACUCCAUGUGUAGCGGUGAAAUGCGUAGAUAUAUGGAAGAACACCAGUGGCGAAGGCGGGCUGUCUGGUCUGUAACUGACGCUGAGGCUCGAAAGUAUGGGUAGCAAACAGGAUUAGAUACCCUGGUAGUCCAUACCGUAAACGAUGAAUGCUAAGUGUUGGAGGGUUUCCGCCCUUCAGUGCUGCAGCUAACGCAUUAAGCAUUCCGCCUGGGGAGUACGGCCGCAAGGCUGAAACUCAAAGGAAUUGACGGGGGCCCGCACAAGCGGUGGAGCAUGUGGUUUAAUUCGAAGCUACGCGAAGAACCUUACCAGGUCUUGACAUACUAUGCAAAUCUAAGAGAUUAGACGUUCCCUUCGGGGACAUGGAUACAGGUGGUGCAUGGUUGUCGUCAGCUCGUGUCGUGAGAUGUUGGGUUAAGUCCCGCAACGAGCGCAACCCUUAUUAUCAGUUGCCAGCAUUAAGUUGGGCACUCUGGUGAGACUGCCGGUGACAAACCGGAGGAAGGUGGGGAUGACGUCAAAUCAUCAUGCCCCUUAUGACCUGGGCUACACACGUGCUACAAUGGAUGGUACAACGAGUUGCGAACUCGCGAGAGUAAGCUAAUCUCUUAAAGCCAUUCUCAGUUCGGAUUGUAGGCUGCAACUCGCCUACAUGAAGUCGGAAUCGCUAGUAAUCGCGGAUCAGCAUGCCGCGGUGAAUACGUUCCCGGGCCUUGUACACACCGCCCGUCACACCAUGAGAGUUUGUAACACCCAAAGUCGGUGGGGUAACCUUUUAGGAACCAGCCGCCUAAGGUGGGACAGAUGAU
rnacentral:rRNA from 1 species